rnacentral:rRNA from 1 species
UACGUAGGGUGCGAGCGUUAAUCGGAAUUACUGGGCGUAAAGUGUGCGCAGGCGGCCGCGCAAGUCGAGUGUGAAAUCCCCGGGCUUAACCUGGGAACUGCAUUGGUGACUGCAUUGCUGGAGUAUGGCAGAGGGGGGUGGAAUUCCACGUGUAGCAGUGAAAUGCGUAGAGAUGUGGAGGAACACCGAUGGCGAAGGCAGCCCCCUGGGCCAAUACUGACGCUCAUGCACGAAAGCGUGGGGAGCAAACAGG